GAGGGAGCGAUUUCAUUGAGGGCGAGGGAGAGAGCUUGCUGGUAACGAUUGAGAGAAGAGAGAUUCGUGAGAAAGAGAGGGCGAGUUCGUGAGGCCUCUGUUACUAUUCCAUCUUUUCUUUUUUCUUUUUUUUCUUUUCUUUAAUUUAUUUGUUUAAACAGAAUAAGUUUUGAAAGCAUUAAAGAUUAUUUUGUUUAAAAUUCCUAGGUUAUUAGUUAAUAAUAGUUUUUAUAUUUCCAACUUAUUCCCCAUUGAUAACCCAACAGCCAUGCGGCUGGGUUCAGUUACUGGUAGUCCAACAGUUUUUAUUUUUAUUAGUUUUUUUAUUUUAAUUCUAAUUUUUAAUCCAUUUUAGUUUAUUUAUCCAAUCUAGCAUCAAAAUAACAACUAGUCAUAAAUGGCCUGGUGGAGAGAGGGUUUUCAUGAUCUUAAGUGGAGAGGGUUCGAUACUCAUGUGUAGCAUUGCUUUCUUUUGGCAUUUUAUUUCUUUUAGCUAUUUUAUUUUCUUUUAGCAUUUUCAUUUCUUUUUAUGUUUAUGCCUUUAUUAUACUCAUAGUUUCAUUUGUUAAUAAUGCAAAUUUGUUUUCUUGUAAUUUCAUCAUUCAUUCAAAACCAUUUUAAAACUAUUAAAAUCGUAUUUUCUCGAUUUAAUAUCGAGCCCAUUUUCCACACCCUUGUAAGUCGAUUUCUUUUUAAGCAUCGCCAUCAACCUCACAUAGCUUACUCUUGGGCUUUCUUACAAUGAGCCGGUUCUCUUGCACUUACACUCAUAUUUCGCAUCAUUUGUUGUUUGAGCCUGAUCUAAUUAUUUCAUGAUUUUGAAUCCCCAUUUGACAAAAUGUACCCCACUUCCCCAAUGUGUAUAUAAUGUUGUAUUGUUUAAUUUCUCUAUUUGUUUUAGACACUAACCAAGGAGUAAAAUCCAC
rnacentral:lncRNA from 1 species